rnacentral:rRNA from 1 species
GAUGAACGCUAGCGGGAGGCCUAACACAUGCAAGCCGAGCGGUAUUGUUUCUUCGGAAAUGAGAGAGCGGCGUACGGGUGCGGAACACGUGUGCAACCUGCCUUUAUCUGGGGGAUAGCCUUUCGAAAGGAAGAUUAAUACUCCAUAAUAUAUUGAUUGGCAUCAAUUAAUAUUGAAAGCUCCGGCGGAUAGAGAUGGGCACGCGCAAGAUUAGCUAGUUGGUGAGGUAACGGCUCACCAAGGCGAUGAUCUUUAGGGGGCCUGAGAGGGUGAUCCCCCACACUGGUACUGAGACACGGACCAGACUCCUACGGGAGGCAGCAGUGAGGAAUAUUGGUCAAUGGGUGCAAGCCUGAACCAGCCAUCCCGCGUGAAGGACGACUGCCCUAUGGGUUGUAAACUUCUUUUGUAUAGGGAUAAACCUACCCUCGUGAGGGUAGCUGAAGGUACUAUACGAAUAAGCACCGGCUAACUACGUGCCAGCAGCCGCAGUAACAC